rnacentral:lncRNA from 1 species
GACCCGCCCACACCUCUGACGGACCGACCUGCUGUGGAUGCGGAGGCAAAGAGAAGAAGGACCGAACAUGGCCGGCUCGCUCCAAUUAGGAGAUACUGAGCGGGCAGUUAUGGCAGGUGUGCCUGUUGCACUCCAAGGUGCACUUCCGCCGGUACCGUCCACACCGUUAACGGUCUCCACACCCCUGGUUAACCCACAGGCCCCUACAGCUGUGUCCUCAGGCACUGCCACCUUUGCUACCACUAUGACAUCACUGAGAUCAGAUGGGCAUACAGUACUUUCCAAAGAGGACAUUGAGGGUUUGCUGCUGCUGGGAACAACGCUUUCUGAAGUGGCUUCAGUCCUGUGGAUCUCCGGACCCACUUUAUACAAGCUGAUGUGGGAAUACAACUUAAGGGAUUGAGCCAUUUUCAUCCCAUGGCUUUUCUCCCCACGUGCAAAAAAAAGUUUCCAGAGAGCGCUUCAUGUCUGGCUAGGUGAGAACACUUUGCAACUGCCUAAAGUUGUUUUUUUAUUUUUUUCCUGGAAGUCACUGAGAACAGGAUGCGCUCCACACGGGAGCCAAGGGGAGCUUGGCUCGUCCUAAUACGACUUGAGCUCCCCUGAAAAACAUCAUUUGUGGAAUUUUGCGUGCUCACUAAAUAUUACUAUUAUUAUUAUUACUAAUUAUUAUUUUUGCCAUGCAUUUCUAUUUUUCUGUAUCUUCACCUUCAUGGAUCAUGUGUAAAAUGAGGCUUUUUAUUGAUGUAUGAUUGGUUGAUGAUGAUGAUGAUGAUGAUCAGGAAGUUAUUGUGCUAAUCUGAAUUUCUUGGGUAACUUUAACCUUGUUUGUGAGCACCCAUGGUAGGCAAUCUGCUUUAGUCAUUGUGUUUGCACAAUGACUAAGCAGAUUGCCUACCAUGGAUUGAAAUAAACACAGGCUUACUGGACAGAAACAUAAGAAUAUUCAAACAAUCUUUUAUUUGAAAUAACCAAAAAUUGUACGAGAAAAUGGUGUUGAAAAACUUUAACUUCUAACCCUUUAACCUAAAAACAGUAUCUCUUUAAACCUCAUUCAUCUGUGAACCCACAUUAGAUUCUACUGUAGAGAGAUGUUUUAAGGCCUGAAAAAGAACCAAAGACCAAUCUGAGUGCAGCAAACACAUAUUCAGCAGUUAUGUUCACCUGAAGCCCGUCAUGUUAUCUCACACAACCUUUCUCCACUGUUGUGUGUGUGUGUGUGUGUGUGUAUGCUGAUUGGAGUCGGAGCAGCUGGGUCGUGUGAGCCUGAGUGUGAGGAACACACUUCCUGUGCUGAGAGAUGCAAUUAAAGAGCUCAUCCUCGUCGAUUCUCAUCCAUUGCGCAGGAGGGAAAAGAACCAUUAACCCACAUAUUUAUAGGGCACGGCCUGAACUUCAACCAAAAACCAUAUGCCGAAUCAUUUGCAUGGGGAAACCCAUUUAUCCAACUUGUUUGCCGGAGAAAACGUGAGAUGCACAUGAGUCUUUGAAAGGGACCUGGGGCAGCCUUUUAGUAAGUGGGUCGGAUGGACGGAAUGCCUCCAGAUCAGUCGGUACGCGUGUCACAAAGCAUGCUUGUCUCUGGCUAACAGGGUGAAAGAGGCUCAGUCGAAUGGCCUCCUUUCUGUCCGACACUCAAUUAAGGCCUAAUUGGUUUGAGGUCCACUACAGGCAUGUGGCAAGGCAACACCCCAGGCUUCUGUGCACUUGUUCCCUGUUUUCUGACUCCCCCCUCUGGAAACAUUCCUUUGAUCUGUGAACAACCAAAGUAGGUUUUAAGCCAAGGGGUUGAUAGCCUAUUUUCCCCUUUGAACAUGUACAACAAUUACUUUGGUAUUUUUACAGUUCAUUUGACCCACAGAUGAAGAACUACAGAGGGUCUGACACAGGACACAGCAGAUACAGAGCCAUUUGAAUUUGGCUAUGGAUCCGUUUGUCUUUGUAAGCUGUUUUUGUGUGUAUGUUUUGCACAAAAGAGGGAGUCUUUGUGCGCAGGCUUGGAUGUGUACUAUGUGAGACAUCGAUGAGCUGUGUCAGCAGUAUAGAGCAUCUCCUCCUUUAAUGCAUUACUGGAAAUCUCCACCACCGCUCUCCAGAGACCCUCACCGCCAUGUAACAGCAACAUUACUGGGGUCAUUAGAUUUUGUACCUCCUUAACUUGGUGUGGUCAGGUCGGAUACAUCUCCUCAAGCCUACUGAAACUACUUUCUAAUCUGUCUUGUGGAAAAGGACACUGCUCUUGCAUUUACUCACCUGGCAUCAAAAUUGGAUCUGUACCCAGACAUAUCAUACGGAUAAAAUGAUCUGUUCGUGCCUUUUGUGUUUAUUUGAAUAUUUUUAAUGUAUUCUUGUUAUCAUUGUGAUCAGAUCUCUGUCCUCGAGUGAUUUCAGUUGGCAGCAAAUCAGAACCAGACUCCCUUAAGAAACCACACAGUUUUGUGAGUUUUUGAGUUAGAGGAGACUCCUUUAGCUUUGUAAGAUAGUGUCCGGGACAGAUUCUUAAGUAUCUGUCUGCUGUUAGCUUACUAUCUCGCCAAGACAUCUGUUACAACUAUGGAUUUUUUGUAUGGCAUAUUUUUGUCUUUAUUUUGCUGUCAGACAGUUUAGUUUAGGCUUGCUAUACUAUCUACCUGUGUCUCAGAUUGAGAAUAACAAUAAAGGCACAUUUUCAGCCACUAAUAUUUAAGUAAACAUAGCAAAACUGGCUCAGAAGUGUUAUAAAACUAUUUUUCUCCCAGCUGAACCGUCCUCUCAGCCUCCUCUGUCCUGUGUUCUUGAAUAGGUCUGUUUGAUCCGACAAUACAAGGAACCUCAAAGUGGAAUAAGAAUGAAUCUAGGAGCCUUGACUCUGUGGUCAGGGAUUAUACGAUCAAUACUCCAUUCCGUCUUCAAACACAUUGGACGUGAUAUAACCUUGGGCUGGAUCGCCGCCUCCAUAUCUCAUCUUCUCCCAUCUUUUAUGUUUGUUGCUUUAAUUGGUACGGCUGUGUCUCCGUACCAAGACAUCCGACACGAGCGACAUCUGCCUGCAAACAUGUUUACAUCCUGUCAGCAAUAAGCGGUCAACACAAAAUGACCUCAGUGACAACAACCUGCAGAUAUGCUGCAGAUCCUGCUGAGAGGCGAACACAUGCACGAACACGCACACCCAGUCACGCUAACACAAAACAGAUGGCUCCAUCGCCGACCGCGUUAUGAGUUGCUUCACCCCAGAAUCUUUGGGUAGGCCCUGGAAACUCCAACAACAACUCCCGAAAAGCCCGGCCCCUGCUGACCUCGACCCACGUUGGGUUACGUCACUCGGUGGGAACACCACGGCCUAGUUCUGCCCCCUUUGUUUGUUUCCCUCGGCAUCCCAUAGAGCCCGGGGACCUCUGGAGUAAAAACACUUAACAGUAGCAUCCAGCUCGUGGGACAGUUGUGCACAUUCCACCGUCUGGGAACGUCCUCACAAACUGUCACGGGAUCUGAGUAGUUGAGGAAGAGAUGAUGGGACUAAUGACAUGAAGC